rnacentral:miRNA from 1 species
ACAUGAUGUAGAAUGAUAUAGGUU